UAUGGUGAACAAGCGGAAUUUUUGCUUUUGUUUCGUUUACAACUGAGGCAGUGCCUACUCUACUGGCUCUAACAAAUUUAUAUUUCUCAUCUUUCAAUCCUUUGGCCACUUGGUUUACAAACGCUGUGUGCAGAUAUCAUAACUCACGCUGAAAACUCGAAGUUUUUCAAAUCGGCAAAGACAAGCGAUAUUUAAGGAUCUACUGGGAGAACCUCUGUAUACAGAAAAACCUUAGAAAGCUUCUCAUUGUGAACCGAAUCGCGCCCAUUAUCGAAGAAAACUGUUUUACUAUUAAACGGAUUGAUGAUGGAAUUCAGAUCUAUCAUGACUAUCGUCGCUUUAUCGUGGCAAAGACAAUCAAUAUGACAGUGAUGUGAUAUGAGCAGUUAACUAUCAUGAAAUAAGCGCGUGUCUAACCCUGUUCUGUCAUCCUUCGUCUACGACGACGUUCGAUUUGAAAUUCGUUUGAAAACAGGUGUUUCCUCUUUGUUUUGUUUUGAUUAUUCUUACAGCACCAACUAAAAAUAUACAUAACUUUUUGAUUAAAAAUAAAAUAGGGAAAAUAAUGAAAUCCAUUUUGGUUUUGUUUUUUCUCUCGAAAUUUUUUAUAGUGUUUCAAAAUAAGUCGUGGUCAAAAUAACGAAUGAAAUUUCAUUGUUAAAUGUAAACCCAAACACAACAAAAACAAAGUUUUACAUAGGAAUAUACAAAUGUGGUUGCUAUUACGAAGUAUUAGUAUAAUAUUAUUCACACUUAUUGAUGUACAAUAACCGCCUAUGAAAGAUAAAUAAACCUAAUUACAAUCAG